rnacentral:rRNA from 1 species
AGUGAACGCUGGCGGUAGGCCUAACACAUGCAAGUCGAACGGCAGCACAGUAAGAGCUUGCUCUUACGGGUGGCGAGUGGCGGACGGGUGAGGAAUACAUCGGAAUCUACUUUUUCGUGGGGGAUAACGUAGGGAAACUUACGCUAAUACCGCAUACGACCUACGGGUGAAAGCAGGGGAUCUUCGGACCUUGCGCGAUUGAAUGAGCCGAUGUCGGAUUAGCUAGUUGGCGGGGUAAAGGCCCACCAAGGCGACGAUCCGUAGCUGGUCUGAGAGGAUGAGCGGCCACACUGGACUUGCACAACGGGCCGGACUCCUACGGGAGGCAGCAGUGGGGAGUGUUGGACAAUGGGCGCAGGCCUGAUCCAGCCAUAUCGCGUGGGUGAAGAAGGCCUUCGUGUUGUAAAGCCCUUUUGUUGGGAAAGAAAAGCAGCAGGUGAAUACCCCGCUGUUCUGACGGUGCCCAAAGAAAAAGCACCGGCUAACUUCGUG